rnacentral:rRNA from 1 species
GAUGAACGCUAGCGGCGGGCUUAAUACAUGCAAGUCGAGGGGCAGCACGAUGUAGCAAUACAUUGGUGGCGACCGGCGGACGGGUGCGUAACACGUAUGCAACUUGCCCUAUACUGGGAGAUAGCCCGAAGAAAUUCGGAUUAAUAUCCCAUAACAUCAGGAUAAGCAUUUAUCUUGGUUCAAAGUUCCGACGGUAUAGGAUGGGCAUGGCGGUCGAUUAGCUUGUUGGUGAGGUAACGGCUCACCAAGGCGACGAUCGAUAGGGGGCCUGAGAGGGUGAUCCCCCACCCUGGGACUGAGAAACGGACCAGACUCCUACGGGAGGCAGCAGUAAGGAAUAUUGGUCAAUGGGCGCAAGCCUGAACCAGCCACGCCGCGUGAAGGAAGACGGCCCUAUGGGUUGUAAACUUCUUUUCUACGGGAAUAAACCUCAGGACGUGUCCUGAGCUGAAGGUAUCGUAGGAAUAAGGAUCGGCUAACUCCGUGCCAGCCGCCGCCGUAACAC